rnacentral:rRNA from 1 species
GACGAACGCUGGCGGCGUGCCUAAUACAUGCAAGUUGAGCGCUGAAGGUUGGUACUUGUACCGACUGGAUGAGCAGCGAACGGGUGAGUAACGCGUGGGGAAUCUGCCUUUGAGCGGGGGACAACAUUUGGAAACGAAUGCUAAUACCGCAUAAAAACUUUAAACACAAGUUUUAAGUUUGAAAGAUGCAAUUGCAUCACUCAAAGAUGAUCCCGCGUUGUAUUAGCUAGUUGGUGAGGUAAAGGCUCACCAAGGCGAGGAUACAUAGCCGACCUGAGAGGGUGAUCGGCCACAUUGGGACUGAGACACGGCCCAAACUCCUACGGGAGGCAGCAGUAGGGAAUCUUCGGCAAUGGACGAAAGUCUGACCGAGCAACGCCGCGUGAGUGAAGAAGGUUUUCGGAUCGUAAAACUCUGUUGGUAGAGAAGAACGUUGGUGAGAGUGGAGAGCUCAUCAAGUGACGGUAACUACCCAGAAAGGGACGGCUAACUACGUG